GGACAACAGUUGUUGCAGCGUACUGCGCCAGUUUUUUUCUCUUUUUUUCUAGAGUCGGCUGGUCAUUCAGCAGGCCUACCAUUGGAGAAGGACUACAGUUGGUGCAGAAAGGGUUCCAGUUCUGCCCUCUACAGUUCGGUAGAGGCGUGGUACAGGGCAGUUCAGGAGUUAUUGGAGAAGGACUACAUUUGGUGCAGAAAGAGUGUUCCAGUUCUGCCCUCAAAAGUUCGGUAGAGGCGUGGUUACAGUGAUAACAUCAUGCCACGCCGAGGGAAGAGAUCUGAGGCUGCAAAGCAACGCUGGGCUAAGUUGGACCUUUCAGACCCUCGGUUUCAGAGUCCAGAACUACAAAGUAGCGUUGCAGUCAUGGAGGUAUGUGACAGGGAGUGUAAACAGGAGGUGUGUUGUCUACCGGUGGUGUCAUCCCCAUGCACAGCUCAGUAUUAUGCACAACCUGAGGUUCAAGAGGUCAACAGCAAUGUGCAGGUCAUAGACCUUUCUGAAAAUUAUAGUGUACAAGAAUCAUGCGCCCCACCACCCUCUGUGAUAUCUGUGCUGGCGUCCCAUAGUCAGGAUCAUAGUGGCUAUGAGCCUGAGUCAAGGAAUCGUCAGUGUACAUGCAUGGCUCUGACAUUUCUAGCACACCAGAAUGAGGGUCAUGACUUGAAGGAGGCUGAUCUUGACAAGAUACUGGACAAGGGAGACAGUCUGUAUAAGAGAACUAUAAAACAGCUAAAAAGUGAAAAGAGGUUCCGCAACUACUAUUUGACCUUGGAGGAAACACCACUCACUGUCGCAACUGAGCACCAUGAGUACAGGGUGCAAAGAUCUCCAGUGGAAAUGGGAUUCAUGAGAGACAAGGGAGAUCCUGGCACAGAGGAUUGGUUUCAAAAUCUUCGCACAAGACUUCAGUGUCUGUCUGUAGGUGUUACACAUGCACUGCUUACAGUAUCACCAUAUACCAUUGCCGUGUUCAGAGACCAGUCUGGGAGAUAUGGACUGUUUGACUCUCAUAACAGAAAUGCUGAUGGGCUACCUGAGCAUGGGGGAAAAGCUGUAAUGAUGACCUUCACGCAUUUGGAUGAUCUAAUUGAAAAGAUUGAUCAUUUGAAUGCCUUGCUACAUGGUGGGUCUAUUGACAAAAAACAGUUUGACUUCAUGCCGGUGACAUUUGCACAUGCAAAGGCUUUGUCACACCGUUUGCCUUCCCUACAAGUGCAAUCUGACAACCCGCAUGACAGAAGGCCUGCGGAGGUGAAGGUGACACCAACUACCAAACAUGAAACAGAUACUGGACUCCCAACCAGCCAACAUUCUCUGCAGUCAGUCAAUGCACUGUCCACACACGUGAUAUCAAAGGCUACACAGGUUACAACAUCUAAAAAACUCAGUAAACGGCAAAGAAAAAAACAAAUGAAGAAACAAAGAAAAGACACACAGCUGUGUGUAAUGAUAUCUGCCACUGGUAAAAAACAAACAUCUCAGAGAGAGCGAUACAGAAGAGAAGCAGAU